AUUGAACGCUGGCGGCAGGCCUAACACAUGCAAGUCGAGCGGAUGAAGGGAGCUUGCUCCUGGAUUCAGCGGCGGACGGGUGAGUAAUGCCUAGGAAUCUGCCUGGUAGUGGGGGAUAACGUCCGGAAACGGGCGCUAAUACCGCAUACGUCCUGAGGGAGAAAGUGGGGGUUCUUCGGACCUCACGCUUUCAUAUGAGCCUAGGUCGGAUUAGCUAGUUGGUGGGGUAAAGGCCUACCAAGGCGACGAUCCGUAACUGGUCUGAGAGGAUGAUCAGUCACACUGGAACUGAGACACGGUCCAGACUCCUACGGGAGGCAGCAGUGGGGAAUAUUGGACAAUGGGCGAAAGCCUGAUCCAGCAAUGCCGCGUGUGUGAAGAAGGUCUUCGGAUUGUAAAGCACUUUAAGUUGGGAGGAAGGGCAGUAAGUUAAUACCUUGCUGUUUUGACGUUAACAACAGAAUAAGCACCGGCUAACUUCGUG
rnacentral:rRNA from 1 species